AGAUUAAGUUAUUAAGGGCGCACGGUGGAUGCCUUGGCACUAGAAGCCGAUGAAGGACGUUACUAACGACGAUAUGCUUUGGGGAGCUGUAAGUAAGCUUUGAUCCAGAGAUUUCCGAAUGGGGAAACCCAGCAUGAGUUAUGUCAUGUUAUCGAUAUGUGAAUACAUAGCAUAUCAGAAGGCACACCCGGAGAACUGAAACAUCUUAGUACCCGGAGGAAGAGAAAGAAAAUUCGAUUCCCUUAGUAGCGGCGAGCGAAACGGGAAGAGCCCAAACCAACAAGCUUGCUUGUUGGGGUUGUAGGACACUCUAUACGGAGUUACAAAGGACGACAUUAGACGAAUC
rnacentral:rRNA from 1 species